rnacentral:rRNA from 1 species
AUUGAACGCUGGCGGCAUGCUUUACACAUGCAAGUCGAACGGUAACAGGCCGCAAGGUGCUGACGAGUGGCGAACGGGUGAGUAAUGCAUCGGAACGUGCCCAGUCGUGGGGGAUAACGCAGCGAAAGCUGUGCUAAUACCGCAUACGAUCUAUGGAUGAAAGCGGGGGACCGUAAGGCCUCGCGCGAUUGGAGCGGCCGAUGUCAGAUUAGGUAGUUGGUGGGGUAAAGGCCCACCAAGCCAACGAUCUGUAGCUGGUCUGAGAGGACGACCAGCCACACUGGGACUGAGACACGGCCCAGACUCCUACGGGAGGCAGCAGUGGGGAAUUUUGGACAAUGGGCGCAAGCCUGAUCCAGCAAUGCCGCGUGCAGGAAGAAGGCCUUCGGGUUGUAAACUGCUUUUGUACGGAACGAAAAGACUCUGGUUAAUACCUGGGGUCCAUGACGGUACCGUAAGAAUAAGCACCGGCUAACUACGUGCCAGCAGCCGCCGCGGUAA